CAGGUAUCAUCAUAUCUACCUGUAUGUGAGGUGUAGCUGGGUCACGUCAGAGUAGGUAUCAUAAAGAUUCUCCAGGGACGUCUGCCCCAAUACAGCCCCUCAGGUUCCCCUCUGACUGCCCUGGAAAGGGUUGUGUUGUCCCAAUGCUGCCCUGGAAAGGGUUGUGUUGUCCCAAUCUUGCCCUGGAAAGGGUUGUGUUGUCCCAAUGCUGCCCUGGAAAGGGUUGUGUUGUCCCAAUGCUGCCCUGGAAAGGGGUGUGUUGUCCCAAUGCUGCCCUGGAAAGGGGUGUGUUGUCCCAAUGCUGCCCUGGAAAGGGGUGUGUUGUCCCAAUGCUGCCCUGGAAAGGGGUGUGUUGUCCCAAUGCUGCCCUGGAAAGGGUUGUGUUGUCCCAAUGCUGCCCUGGAAAGGGUUGUGUUGUCCCAAUGCUGCCCUGGAAAGGGUUGUGUUGUCCCAAUGCUGCCCUGGCCGUUUCUUUCGCCAGCCUCAGAGCCUGGCCAUAGUCCAGUCUGCAGUUGAAGGCCAUUUCCCAGAAUUCCUCAGUGAGCGUAUCAUCGUAGGGGUUGUGUUUAGCAGGUGACGCUGGAGGCCGAAUCCCAGAGUACCACCCAGCACUGAACUCACCUGGACACAGAAAACCCCACAUCAUCACACUAACAACACCCAACAAAUCAGGGAACACUGCUUUGAAUAUAAAACGGUCACUCUGCUGACUAAUUCUAUGGUACCUGUGACCCCAGGUUGAACCCUAACCCCUAGUUGACCCCCACCCCAGGCUGGUUGAGUGCGGAGGUGACCCAGGCCUCGCUGGCGAUCCAGGUGCGGUUGGUGACAUUGUGUUGGACCAGCUCCUGGAUCACAGGGCGCAGGUCCACUUCAGAGGAGAACAUCACAAUGACUCCACAGUACACUGGAUGUCCUCUGGAGAGCUCACCUGCACAGGAGAGACAUUGAGAGGCGUGUUGUAAUGAAAACCGGUCAUCUUGGGCAGGGUCUCAGAGAAGGAGAUGCAGACCUCAGCCUCCUCCACCUGUUCCUUGAAGGCCUUGAUGCCAUACUUCCCAUAGUCGUUGUCCGCGGCGAUGGUUCCCUCCCAGGUCCUGCUGAAGUGCAGCACCAGGCAGGUCAUUGACUGGUAGACAGCGUUAGGAAUUGUCAUCAAAGGGUGGGGAACUGAAACUUACUUUCCAACACAGAGCAGGACAACGAGGAACUCACCUAGAGACAAGGACAGAGGGAAGAGAGCAAAGGAGAGAGGGAAGAGAGCAAAGGAGAGAGGGAAGAGAGCAAAUGAGAGAGGGAAGAGAGCAAAGGAGAGAGGGAAGAGAGCAAAGGAGAGAGGGAAGAGAGCAAAGGAGAGGGGGAAGAGAGCAGAGGAGAGAGAGCAGAAGAGAGCAGAGGAGAGGGGGAGGAGAGAGCAGAGAAGAGAGAGAGAGGAGAGGGGGAAGAGAGAGAGAACAGAAGAGAGAGAAAGAGGAGAGGGGGAAGAGAGAGAGGAGAGAGAGCAGAGGAG
ensembl:lncRNA